AGUCAAGAUACGAAUGUAAUAUAAUUAUAUAAACGUUAAUUAAAUACAUGAUAAACACUUAUAAAGUUCCAUAUAAAUAUAGAGCGAAAUUUAAAAAUGACAUAAUGUAAUCUAGCAGUUUAGAAAAUGGCGUCCAAGUCAGUGAUUAUCUUCGCUCUCAUCGCAUGCGUAUUAACUUUGACUACUGAUGCUUCAGGACCAUUAAGACGCUACGUUGUAUAUCCGGAAACACCAGACACUAAUGUUGGACCAAAUUAUUCGUCUAACCAAGUUAUUGCUGAAGAUUCUGCCGUAAACAAUAUAGGACAAGGAAUUGCUUCAGAAAUAUAGUAAACAAAAUUGAACAAUAGAAUAGUAAUAAUACAGAACAGUAUGAGCAAAUAAACAUUAUAAUUUUUUGA